rnacentral:rRNA from 1 species
GUGUCAGCAGCCGCGGUAAUACGGAGGGUGCGAGCGUUAAUCGGAAUUACUGGGCGUAAAGCGCAUGCAGGUGGUUUGUUAAGUCAGAUGUGAAAGCCCGGGGCUCAACCUCGGAAUUGCAUUUGAAACUGGCAGGCUAGAGUACUGUAGAGGGGGGUCGAAUUUCAGGUGUAGCGGUGAAAUGCGUAGAGAUCUGAAGGAAUACCGGUGGCGAAGGCGGCCCCCUGGACAGAUACUGACACUCAGAUGCGAAAGCGUGGGGAGCAAACAGGAUUAGAAACCCCCGUAGUCC